rnacentral:rRNA from 1 species
GAAUUUUGGACAAUGGGCGAAAGCUUGAUCCAGUAAUACCGCGUGAGUGAUGAAUGUAUUUUAUUGUAAAACUCUUUCGUUGAAAAAGAUAAUGACAGUAUUCAAGGAAGAAGUCCCGACUAACUUCGUGCCAGCAGUCGCGGUAAUACGAAGGGGGCGAGCGUUACUCGUCUUGAUUGGGCGUAAAGGGUACGUAGGCUGUUUUUAGUGUCCUAGAAAAAUUCUAAUUGGUAACAUUAGGCAUCUAGUAAAAACUAAAGGCUAGAGUAAAAGAGGGGAUAGUGGUACCCGCAGUGUAGCGAUGGAAUGCGUAGAAAUUGCUCAGGGACCACCAAUUGGCGAAGGCUACUAUCUAUUUUUUACUGACGCUGAGGUACGAAAGCGUGGGGAGCAAACAGG